rnacentral:rRNA from 1 species
GUUGUAUAGUUAAGUGACUAAGCGUACAAGGUGGAUGCCUUGGCAAUCAGAGGCGAAGAAGGACGUGCUAAUCUGCGAAAAGCUUGGAUGAGUCGAUAAGAGGCGUUUAAUCCAAGAUAUCCGAAUGGGGAAACCCAGUAGAUGAAGAAUCUACUAUCAACAAGUGAAUUCAUAGCUUGUUGAGGCAAACCGGGAGAACUGAAACAUCUAAGUACCCCGAGGAAAAGAAAUCAACCGAGAUUUCGUCAGUAGCGGCGAGCGAAAGCGAAAGAGCCAGUAAGUGAUAGCAGUAUAGUGAGGAGAAUGUGUUGGGAAACACAAUCAAAGAGGGUGAUAAUCCCGUAUCUAAAAACCAUAUUGUGGUACUAAGCUAACGAGAAGUAGGGCGGGACACGUGAUAUCCUGUUUGAAGAAGGGGGGACCAUCCUCCAAGGCUAAAUACUCCUGAUUGACCGAUAGUGAACCAGUACUGUGAAGGAAAGGCGAAAAGAACCCCGGUGAGGGGAGUGAAAUAGAACCUGAAACCUUGUACGUACAAGCAGUGGGAGCCCCAUCACUUAAUCCGAUUGGAAGGUGAUGAAAAGCAACCGCACUUAAACAAUGGUAAGAGGAGCGAAGCGAGUCAAACCACCCAAAAGAAGCAGUGGGAUUAAGUGAUGGGGUGACUGCGUACCUUUUGUAUAAUGGGUCAGCGACUUAUAUUUUGUAGCGAGGUUAACUGAAUAAGGGAGCCGAAGGGAAACCGAGUCUUAACUGGGCG